GUGGGCCCCCUUUCGGCCCCCUGCCCGAGGACUCCCGAAGAAUUCCGAGUUCGCUCGAACUCCUGCGAUCGCUCUCGCCUCGGUCCUAUCAUUUCGGCGCUCGCAUUCCGCCAGUGUCCGGGCGGCGCCGAACUUACCCGAGUUCGCCCGAUCUUCGAACUCGGCGCUGCCGGUUUCUCUCCCCGGCUUCUCCUCGCCCAGAUCCUCCGUCGUCGUAGACAAUCUCUCGGCGGCUUUCACCGGCGACACGGUCUCCGCGCCCCUAUCCUUCUUAUGUAACGGGCCAUCGCGCGGACGCCAUGUUACAAUAUAUAUCAGUUAGCCAUGCAAACAAAACAUGUACAGAUGCAUAGGGCUGCGUCAUAAUUCAAGUAAACGAGGUAUAGCCACUAGCGAUCGUAUAUCGAUGAAGAUCAGACAGAGUCGAAUGACGUUAUGCUGAAAGUGACAUCAGUUUCAUUUUGAGACGACUUAUUUACGUAUAAGUUCGUAAGUAAAUGGCAUCUUAAUAUGGAACUGACGUGGCGGCGUAAUAGCUCAACAUACGUAAGGUCAACCAAUCGGAGAAGACAGAGUCCGGUGACGUCACUGUCUAAAUGCGCAAAAUCGCUAGUGGCUAUACCUCGUAUAUCUGUGUGAUGGCUGCGUAAUAUAUAUGUGUAUACAUAUACAAUGUAAAAAUUUGAGAAAUUUACUUAUUCCGCUCUGACAUCCUUGCGGGGCUGUUCGCUGUUGGAGAAGGAACGCACUCCUUACGUCGUCACGCUAGCUGCUCAAGUUCAGUGCAAAUCAGACCAGAAGACGCGACACACUCUGCGGACUCAGUAGCGUCGAUCAGUGCCAUCAGGAAUUAAUUUAGUGUACAAACACGUGUUUGAUUACUGGAUAUACUGUAUAAAGGACGUACAUCAGCAAUGGAUCCAAGGACAAAAACGUCUGCACCUUCUUCGCCUCCGCAGCAUGCGGUGCCGCUAUCGACAUUCAACCAAAGCGGCCCGUAUUACCAACAAGCCGCGGAACCACCUUUUUAUCAAAGACCUUCUUUAACGGAUUCUCUUUUACCACCAUUGCAAAGCCAAACACGCAAUAUUGUAUUCGUCCAGCAAGAUCCGGUUAGAGGAUCGUUUCGGAAGAGGAAUAAAGUUGUACUCACUCUUGCCUUCGUUGUUCUGACAGUGCUAUUUAUAGGAACGAUCGUUGCUUUUAUGCGGCGUCUCUCGGAUGCUAAGCCGAUUACCGACUUAUGAUGAUCCUGUUCUAUGGUACUCCGAAUUCGGUAGUGACGAGUCUCUAGAAUUUACGAUUACUUUUAUUCUAAAGCUAAAGAUCGGCGCACAGUGAAACUUGAGCUAGUUUGUCUCGUAGAGACAUGUAAGUCACGUGAGGAACCAAUCAGAUACGAGAAACGAUCACGACGUUUCUCUCUCUCUUUCUCUCGGUUACAGGUUAGGUUAAAUUCAUGCGUGCGCAUCAUUUCGGUUUUUAAGAAAGAUGAGCACCUCUCACAUUAUGCUAAACUUGGGUGGCUCAAGGACAGUCAAAAAUAUCUACUAGCUACGCCAGUGUAUGUGCAAAGUUCUAGAGACGGGAAUUCCCACUUAUGUUACACUACGCGUCGGAGACUGGAUGGUCUGGUAAAUUCACGACAUCGCACUGAAUUCUGUAGAUACUUUUUUACAAUAUCCGCACCCCUGUUCUGGAAUUCCUUGCCGAAUGAAAUUAGGGAAGCUCCCUCGCGUAGGGCUUUUCAGCGUUACUUCGCAACUUUAUAAUUGACAUGUGAAUUUCUUCGUAUCACUAUUAUUAUUAUUGGCACUGUGUUAUAUAUAUACUAAUCAACAAGUUAUAAUGCUAGGACCGUUUAUAUCCUCCCUUAGUACAUCCUAAAUACACUGUGCUAGGCAGCUAGGCGUCCCGGAGGGAUAACGAAAGACGAGCGAGUAGGAGGGCAGAUGCAUUAGAACUUCAAUCUGGCCAUUACUGUUUUUUUUUUCCUAAUAAAAAAAAAGUUAUUCUUACUCUUUAAGCUGAGUGUAUAGUAUUUUGUGAGAUAACCCUCACACUUGGGAUCGUAAAUCACGAUUUGUAUAACGAGUACUAAUUUGUCUUUCCAUAUGGUUGCGAUACAUGCGGAGUAAAAAAUAGAGACGCACGCGAGGACGCAGUAGAAGACAGUUAUUCUGCAAUAGGAGGGGCAAGUAUAGCGCAGCCAGACAAUAAGGACGGCUUCCAUGUAAGCGACAGCUUAGAACGGUUAGGUUAGGUUAGGUAAGUAUAAGUAAUAGCACAUACAUCGUGAGCAUAACGGACGUCACACACAUGGUCCACGCUGGACCAUAUAUGGGAGCUUUCGUUAUUGGUGAAAUAAAAGCCCAGCGAAUGAGUGAUCAUUUGAAAGUGGAGCGGCUCGAAGUAAGCAAAACUGGUAAACAAUCGACGGGAGAGUCGUCGCGACGCUAAGGGACAGUAGUAACCGACGCCUCCGUAAACGCUAAUGAAUUUCACUGAAUAACCACCAGAUGGAACAGGCGAAGAGGAUACUCAAGUUACGAUCAAAGGACGAGAAGUCAUCUCGUUUGCGGUCUGAAGGCAGCAGCGAUUACUUAAUGUGCAUAUACGAUACCGCGAGCUUCGUUGUAAUAGGGAAAUUAGCGAUUCACUUCAAGGGAUGUAAAAUUCUACCGUGCUAAUUAUCCGCGUAGAUUUCAGAAGGGUGAGCGGAUAUCGAUAAGGGGCACUUGCGAGGAAAAAUAAAAAACUGUAGCACAAGGGUGAAUCAGGAUUGGUAUCAGUUCCAUGUAUAUAAGUCGCCAAUAAGAUUUCAGUAAAUGAGAUCAAUAAUUUGCGCAAAGAACUUUAUCCGGGAAGAUACCUGUAACCUGGAUGGAAAGGAGAGGCGAAAUUGCGGAGGAAGUGAAUCGAAGGUGGCUGCUAGUCGAGGAUGGCUGACUGCUACAGGGAAAUAGCUACUUCGCGGCAGAGGGAAAGAGAAGAGAAGCAAAAGCUGGAAGGAAUUUAAGGAGGGGAGAAGAAAGAAGCUAAGGUGAAGAAAUUUAGGAAAGGAAGAGGCUGCGGAUGGAGGAAGGACUUCGAUUCGCACUAAUCCCUGGCGACAUAGCUUAGAUUGCAGAUGGGGAGGAUCGGGAAUGGAUAUAGGGCCUGGAACAGGGAGAGUAACGACAUUAUUGUUAUCAAGACGGAGAUGCGUCUAAAGCGAACACCGAUCGCGAUACGUAUAUCGCGGAUGCUGCGAGACGCGCGACAAGAUGAAAAUAAAAUUACAGACUCUUGCGCUCUCUCGCACUCUCUGCGCCACUCAAUUCGAUUCCCUCCGUCCUCCCUGCACUUACAGCCACACUCUUGUCCCAUCAGCUUCACCAGCAACGACAGAAGGAACCCGCCGCUGCUUUCUUCCCUUCGACAACUCCGGAACUAAUAAAGAUUCGGCCUUUAGAAAAUACUCUCUCCACCCUA